rnacentral:rRNA from 1 species
GGGUUGUGAGGUUAAGCGACUAAGCGUACACGGUGGAUGCCCUGGCAGUCAGAGGCGAUGAAGGGCGUGCUAAUCUGCGAUAAGCGCCGGUAAGGUGGUAUGAA